GCACGGGUGAGUAACGCGUGGGGACCUACCUCUUAGUGGGGGAUAACGGUUGGAAACGACCGCUAAUACCGCAUACGCCCUUAGGGGGAAAGAUUUAUCGCUAAGAGAUGGACCCGCGUUGGAUUAGAUAGUUGGUGAGGUAACGGCUCACCAAGUCAGCGAUCCAUAGCUGGUUUGAGAGGAUGAUCAGCCACACUGGGACUGAGACACGGCCCAGACUCCUACGGGAGGCAGCAGUGGGGAAUAUUGGACAAUGGGGGCAACCCUGAUCCAGCCAUGCCGCGUGAGUGAAGAAGGCCUUCGGGUUGUAAAGCUCUUUCAGAUGCGAAGAUGAUGACGGUAACAUCAGAAGAAGCCCCGGCUAAUUUCGUGCCAGCAGCCGCGGUAAUACGAAAGGGGCUAGCGUUGUUCGGAUUUACUGGGCGUAAAGGGCACGCAGGCGGUCUUGCCAGUCAGGGGUGAAAGCCCCGGGGCUCAACCCCGGA
rnacentral:rRNA from 1 species